AGUAAUGACAAGGUGAGAGAGAUAUCUGACAUGUGCGCUUUAUUGGGUUGUCAUGUAACUAGAAGCUUAGCAAGCCUCAUGUACAAACCUUUCUACCACCACCUUACAAAGUAGCUCUUCAUUUUUGCAUAUUGACAAAAACUGGAGCAAAUAUCUUAAGGCUGAAAGUACAAAAACAAACAGAUGACAUAAUUUACAUCAAGCAAUACUGACAGAGAAGUUGGAAACCUUCAUAGAGGCAAAUAAAGGUGGUGAACAAACUGAAGAAAACUAAACCACACAAAAAAAAAAAAAA